rnacentral:rRNA from 1 species
AGUGAACGCUGGCGGUAGGCCUAACACAUGCAAGUCGAACGGCAGCACAGUAAGAGCUUGCUCUUACGGGUGGCGAGUGGCGGAAGGGUGAGGAAUACAUCGGAAUCUACUUUUUCGUGGGGGAUAACGUAGGGAAACUUACGCUAAUACCGCAUACGACCUACGGGUGAAAGCAGGGGAUCUUCGGACCUUGAGCGAUUGAAUGAGCCGAUGUCGGAUUAGCUAGUUGGCGGGGUAAAGGCCCACCAAGGCGACGAUCCGUAGCUGGUCGGAGAGGAUGAUCAGCCACACUGGAACGGAGACACGGUCCAGACUCCUACGGGAGGCAGCAGUGGGGAAUAUUGGACAAUGGGCGCAAGCCUGAUCCAGCCAUACCGCGUGGGGUAAGAAGGCCUUCGGGUUGUAAAGCCCUUUUGUUGGGAAAGAAAAGCAGCAGGUUAAUACCCCGCUGUGCUGACGGUACCCAAAGAAUAAGCACCGGCUAACUUCGUG